UACGUAGGGGGCAAGCGUUGUCCGGAAUCAUUGGGCGUAAAGCGCGCGUAGGCGGUUCGUUAAGUCCUGUGUGAAAUCCCCCGGCUCAACUGGGGAACUGCACAGGAAACUAGCGGGCUUGAGUUCGGGAGAGGGAAGCGGAAUUCCGGGUGUAGCGGUGAAAUUCGUAGAUAUUCGGAGGAACACCAGUGGCGAAGGCGGCUCACUGGCUCGGUACUGACGCUGAGGUGCGAAAGCGUGGGGAGCAAACAGG
rnacentral:rRNA from 1 species